AGAGCGAACGCUGGCGGCAGGCCUAACACAUGCAAGUCGAGCGCCGUAGCAAUACGGAGCGGCAGACGGGAGAGUAACACGUGGGAACGUGCCCUUUGGUUCGGAACAACACAGGGAAACUUGUGCUAAUACCGGAUAAGCCCUUACGGGGAAAGAUUUAUCGCCAAAGGAUCGGCCCGCGUCUGAUUAGCUAGUUGGUGAGGUAACGGCUCACCAAGGCGACGAUCAGUAGCUGGUCUGAGAGGAUGAUCAGCCUCACUGGGACUGAGACACGGCCCAGACUCCUACGGGAGGCAGCAGUGGGAAUAUUGGACAAUGGGCGCAAGCCUGAUCCAGCCAUGCCGCGUGGAUGAUGAAGGCCCUAGGGUUGUAAAGUCCUUUCGGCGGGGAAGAUAAUGACGGUACCCGCAGAAGAACCCCGGCUAACUUCGCGCCAGCAGCCGC
rnacentral:rRNA from 1 species